GGGCAGGGCGGGGCUACAAUGCAGUCGAGCGAUGGAUUAAGAGCUUGCUCUUAUGAAGUUAGCGGCGGACGGGUGAGUAACACGUGGGUAACCUGCCCAUAAGACUGGGAUAACUCCGGGAAACCGGGGCUAAUACCGGAUAACAUUUUGAACCGCAUGGUUCGAAAUUGAAAGGCGGCUUCGGCUGUCACUUAUGGAUGGACCCGCGUCGCAUUAGCUAGUUGGUGAGGUAACGGCUCACCAAGGCAACGAUGCGUAGCCGACCUGAGAGGGUGAUCGGCCACACUGGGACUGAGACACGGCCCAGACUCCUACGGGAGGCAGCAGUAGGGAAUCUUCCGCAAUGGACGAAAGUCUGACGGAGCAACGCCGCGUGAGUGAUGAAGGCUUUCGGGUCGUAAAACUCUGUUGUUAGGGAAGAACAAGUGCUAGUUGAAUAAGCUGGCACCUUGACGGUACCUAACCAGAAAGCCACGGCUAACUACGUGCCAGCAGCCGCGGUAAUACGUAGGUGGCAAGCGUUAUCCGGAAUUAUUGGGCGUAAAGCGCGCGCAGGUGGUUUCUUAAGUCUGAUGUGAAAGCCCACGGCUCACCCGUGGAGGGUCAUUGGAAACUGGGAGACUUGAGUGCAGAAGAGGAAAGUGGAAUUCCAUGUGUAGCGGUGAAAUGCGUAGAGAUAUGGAGGAACACCAGUGGCCAAGGCGACUUUCUGGUCUGUAACUGACACUGAGGCGCGAAAGCGUGGGGAGCAAACACGAUUAGAUACCCUGGUAGUCCACGCCGUAAACGAUGAGUGCUACGUGUUAGAGGGUUUCUGCCG
rnacentral:rRNA from 1 species